GAACUCACCUCUUCCCUCUCUCAGUCCAGAGAUCUAUCCACUGCACCACUCAGCUGCUGAAUGAAUGUUUGAUGAGUGCCCACUUGAUCCAAUUCAACAAGGAUCUAUGAAGCACCUAGUACAUGCUAGGCAUCGUGCUCAGCCCUGCAGUCAGAGAGACAUCACAAUGACUUCUGCCUUCAAGGAGUUUGCAUUCUCCUGGGGCCUACGACAAGCGCACAAUAAAAUAAACCCUGUCAAGGAAGCAACACUUGGAAAGCCACAGGAAAAGGAAUUGGUUUUGCUUCACAGAUAAGUAGCAGAGACAUCAAGCAG